GAAGCAGGGGAGCUUAUGUUAUAGGCUGAGAGGAAGAUGUUAUCUUCGACCCUUAUACCUGAUUUGGAUAAUGCCAACGAAGGAAGGAUAG
rnacentral:ncRNA from 1 species